rnacentral:lncRNA from 1 species
AUGUCCCCAUUCGAACGCUUUCCUCUGCAGGAAUUUGUUUAUGUCGUUUGCACUGUGUCCGCAUUUCCCGUUGUACAGCUGUGUAAGUGCCAGAGCAGGUUGAAGAUGCUGCUGUGUUGGCCAAGGUCACUGAGUUUCUCCAUGUGCAAGGAGGAGCACGCCACCGCCUGGGAUAUCGCGCCUGCUGGGUCCUUGCCCUUCCUUCUCCUCCCUUCGCCUUUGGCUGUCUGCGUCGUCUCGCCUGCUGGGUUGGGAAGCGCUCCCCAAGGUGGAUGCUGAAGGAAGAAGUGUUAUUUUUUUAAACAUAUCUGAAGGUCUGCUCAGAAGGCCACCCAGGACAGAGCCUUUUAUAUUUUAAAGGUAGGUUAAAUUUUUCUCCUGGUCGCUCCUGGGCGUUUUCCUAUCACGCCAGGAUAGGCAGUGAUUUGAAAAGCCAGGUUGCUGAAGGAGAGACUCUCCCAUUCAGCUGGCUGAAUGCCAGCCAGGAAAACCUCUGGGAGCAAAUGUGGCUCUGCCAUCACCCAGCUGUGUGCUGUGUGCCAGUGUCCCCAUCGGCAGCUGUCCUGGCUGUGCAGAGAUGCGGGUGUCUGCUGAGCGCAGUGGGGAAGGGACCGUGACUCCCGUGUGACCGGACUUAGGCAACGAUCUUUCAGGAACUUGCUUUAAAAAGAUCUUUCAGCUAGCACCUAUGACAUUGGAUCCGAAAUCCUGGCUUGCAGGCUGAGGCUGGAUUUCUUUCCCUUUCUUUGCUUUUCAGUCAAGAUUUUGGUUGCUGAAAGCAGUCCUUGGCGAAAGCAGUGAGGUGAGGAGGAGGAGGAGGUCUGGAAGCACUUCAG